UACGGGGGGGGCAAGCGUUGUUCGGAAUUACUGGGCGUAAAGGGUCUGUAGGUGGCUUGCUAAGUCAGACGUGAAAUCCCUCAGCUUAACUGGGGAACUGCGUCUGAGACUGAUGAGCUUGAGUGCAGGAGAGGAAUGCGGAAUUCCAGGUGUAGCGGUGAAAUGCGUAGAUAUCUGGAGGAAUACCGGUGGCGAAGGCGGCAUCCUGGACCGGCAUUGACGCUGAGGAGCGAAAGCCAGGGGAGCAAACGGG
rnacentral:rRNA from 1 species